AGCUGGCAAUACCUGGCAUAUGUGUUUGGUCCACAAGUCUGGGUCCAAUCUUGAAAACAGGACUUACUGGGUUGGGAUUGGAGCAACACUCCUGAUGACACGGAGCUCCAAUGAUAGCCCCCCUACACUGCAGACUCUGAGAUCCCUCCACCUUACUUCGGAUGUCUUCUGCACCAGUCUACUGAGGUCACCCUGUGAUCAUGGUGACUCUCCACCAGCACACAGGAUAAAACAGGCAGAAACCAUGAAAACGCUUUUAGAAGCAGAGAUCCAAACAGCCAAGAAAACUCUGGAGGAGGAGCGUGUGUCAGCCUCACAAAAGGAACUUUACCUCAGGAAGCUGAACUCAUCAUUGACCGUGUCGAGAAGAGCCAGCCAGCGCAGCCACAUGCAGCUUUGGGCUGAUGUCCACAAACUAGGGAAAAAGCUACAGGAAUGCAAACUGGCUUUUGGUGUCGAAGAUGAGAUUUUCAGAAAGAUAAAACACCAAACCCGAGAAUUGGAGGAAUCCAUAAAAGAAUAUGAGGCAGUAAUCCAGGUAAAACUUCCACAUGA
rnacentral:lncRNA from 1 species